rnacentral:sRNA from 1 species
CGUUGGCCUCAGAUCAGGGAGGAUCACCCGCCGAA